UACGGAGGGGGCUAGCGUUGUUCGGAAUUACUGGGCGUAAAGCGCACGUAGGCGGCUUUGCAAGUCAGAGGUGAAAGCCCGGGGCUCAACCCCGGAAUUGCCUUUGAGACUGCAUCGCUAGAAUUGUGGAGAGGUAAGUGGAAUUCCGAGUGUAGAGGUGAAAUUCGUAGAUAUUCGGAAGAACAUCAGUGGCGAAGGCGACUUACUGGACACAUAUUGACGCUGAGGUGCGAAAGCGUGGGGAGCAAACAGG
rnacentral:rRNA from 1 species